rnacentral:siRNA from 1 species
UUGACAUCUAUUUUGAUAUUAUGC